CACAUUAAAACAAUUUCUUAAAAUCUAAGACUCUCCCUCUCCCUCGGCGCCGCUUAGCCGUUCAUCGCCCCACCAGAGGCUCUCCAGACCAUGCCCUAAGCUCCGAUGACCACGGAGGAAGAGCAAUCAGUCGAACAUGAGGUACGCCCUCCUACAGUUAUCUCUUUUAAAGAUGCCCGAUAAAAUCCCAAAAUCAAAACGAAACUCAGAGAAAGAGUUGAACUACAAACAAAAUAAAAAAUCAACUCGGAAAUCACUUUUUGGUGCUUUUUUUAUUUUUUUGUAUUUUGAUCUUUGUAUAUUUUUUGUUGUUUUUUUUCAUCUCGUUACAUCGUGGACUUGGUCCCUUUUUUAUAGCAUCUAUUUACAGGAUAGAAUAAAAAUAAAAUAAAAUAAAAUAAAAGAAAUCCAAACAAAUCCCGUUUGCUCUGUUGUCCUUGCUUUUUCUCUCUGCCCCCUCUCGCUUGGUGUCUGUUUUUGCUGCUUUUUGUGUGCGUCUCUUGUAGGUACGGAGCGCAGGGUCUGGACGCGGCACGUACGGAGGCUAAGGCGCGCGUACGAGGUAGCAGACAUGGCACCACGCACAUGGGGAGAGGCGCGAGUGGCAACGGCGCAGGAGGCUUUUGCUAUUAGGGUUUUCGGCGCUUGAGGCUGGUUCAAGUUUUGGGCUUCUGUAAUCGGGCUAGGGACUUGGGCCUUUGUAAUUAGAAAUUGGACUUAUUAUAUUGGGUUGUAACUGGACUGUGGACCUUUAAUUUUUAAUUUGGUUUUAUUUUAUUUAUUUUUUUAUUUGGUUUAUUUCACUAAUGGGCUGAGCAAAUUGAGCCUAUUACAAUAAGCACCCCUGUUGUUGGCCCUGGGCUUGUCUGAAAUAUGUUGGUUUGUUGUACCAUACUGACAAAGCUUCAAUGCUAG
rnacentral:lncRNA from 1 species